AGGUAGGGAUACCCGCUGAACUUAAGCAUAUCAAUAAGCGGAGGAAAAGAAACCAACAGGGAUUGCCUCAGUAACGGCGAGUGAAGCGGCAAAAGCUCAGAUUUGAAAUCUGGUGUAGUAAUCGACACCCGAGUUGUAAUCUGUAGAGGAGUUUUCGGAGAAUGACUUUGGUUAAAGUUCCUUGGAAAAGGGCAUCAUAGAGGGUGAGAAUCCUGUUUAUGACCUUUGUAAUUCUCUAUUAUGAAUCUCCUUCAAUGAGUCGAGUUGUUUGGGAAUGCAGCUCUAAAUGGGUGGUAAAUUCCAUCUAAAGCUAAAUAUUGGCAAGAGACCGAUAGCGCACAAGUAGAGUGAUCGAAAGAUGAAAAGAACUCUGAACAGAGAGUUAAAGAGUACGUGAAAUUGUUGAAAGGGAAGCACUUGUGACCAGACAAAUUUGCAAUUAAUCAGCCAUCAGUUUUGGUGGUGCACUUGAUUGUAGAUGGGUCAGCAUCAGUUAUAGUAGUGGGACAAAGAUCAAAAGAAUGUAGCUCCUUAUUGAGGAGUGUUAUAGCUUUUGGUUUAAUACCGCUUGCCAUGACUG
rnacentral:rRNA from 1 species